CAGUAGCCGCGGUAAUACGUAGGUCCCGAGCGUUGUCCGGAUUUAUUGGGCGUAAAGCGAGCGCAGGCGGUUAGAUAAGUCUGAAGUUAAAGGCUGUGGCUUAACCAUAGUACGCUUUGGAAACUGUUUAACUUGAGUACAAGAGGGGAGAGUGGAAUUCCAUGUGUAGCGGUGAAAUGCGUAGAUAUAUGGAGGAACACCGGUGGCGAAAGCGGCUCUCUGGCUUGUAACUGACGCUGAGGCUCGAAAGCGUGGGGAGCAAACAGGAUUAGAUACCCCUGUAGUCCCUGUCUCUUAUACA
rnacentral:rRNA from 1 species